rnacentral:rRNA from 1 species
AAUCAACGCUGGCGGCGUGCCUAACACAUGCAAGUCGAACGCGAAAGUUCCUUCGGGGAUGAGUAGAGUGGCGUCCGGGUGAGUAACGCGUGGGUAAUCUGCCUUUGGGUGGGAAUAACCGAGGAAACGUUGGGCUAAUACCGCAUAAUGCAGCGGCUCGACAUCGAGACGGUUGUUAAAGCAGCAAUGUGCCUGGAGAGGAGCCUGCGUCUGAUUAGCUAGUUGGAAGGUAAUAGGCUUACCAAGGCUGCGAUCAGUAGCUGGUCUGAGAGGACGGCCAGCCACAAUGGCACUGAAACACGGGCCA